UACGGAGGGGGCUAGCGUUGUUCGGAAUUACUGGGCGUAAAGGGUGCGUAGGCUGCCCCGUAAGUUAGAUGUGAAAGCCUUGGGCUCAACCCAAGAACUGCGUUUAAAACUGCGGGGCUCGAACGUGAGAGAGGGCAAUGGAAUUUUUGGUGUAGGGGUGAAAUCCGUAGAUAUCAAGAGGAACGUCAGGGGCGAAAGCGGUUGCCUGGAUCACGGUUGACGCUGAGGCACGAAAGCGUGGGGAGCAAACAGG
rnacentral:rRNA from 1 species